UCCAUCCGCGGCCUCUCCCUCACGGUGACAUUGGACGUCGUCUCUGAUUGUGCCCGCCAGCAGAUCCACUCUGGUUAGUCCCUUACCUUUGGGGAUAGUGUUUGAUCUCCUUGCUUAGUCCGACAUGAAGAUUUCUACCAGUGAUUGGAGACUAAAUUGGGUAGGGUUGCUUCGAUCACAAACUAACAGUGGAGUGCAAUGGAAUUGGGUUUGGUAUCAAUAGGAUUGACCUGUUGGAUGUGAGAGUAAUCCAUGGAAACGGGAUCUCACAGCAUUGUGGAAAAUUGAUAUCGAUGGGAAGGUGAAUGGAGCAGUUGAGACAUGCUUUGGGUCUUUUCAUCAUUAUUCACAGCAUAUAAAUUUCUCACACCCUUGAUCAAAGUCAGUUAUAUCUUUGCUUCAAGUUCCAAAUUUGUUAUGUAGUUGUGCACUAAAUUGGAUUACUUUGCAACUUAUAUACCUUUGCUCCGUGGUUUUAAUUGUAAUUCUAUAUAGAAAGUUUA